GUGGGUCGCGGACCUGGAGGAAGGCCUUGGCUGACCCCAGGGGGCCUCCAGAGCCGUUGAUUUCGGGGUCCCGUGCCUUCGCUCUGCACACUUAAUUUUACAAGAUUUUCCCUAGGUGGUGGGUGCAUCUGCUCUUUUUUCUUUAAACAAAGAACCUACUUGUUGCUUUCUUUCUGGUUAUUGAAGUGGCACGUGCCAGCCUUCUCGAUUCAGAGAAAACCUGAAGGUAUAAAUAGGAAAGUGAGAGCCACCGGAAAUCCCCGCCCCCGCCCGGCACCUGGCGGCUUGUGGGCGUCGCAAAUGACUGUUUCUGGAGACGUAUCUAUCUCUGUUAGCUUCCUGUUGAAUACAUUUUCUGAUAUCAUUUUCCUACAAAAGUUAUUAAUUUAACAAGACACCAAGGGUUUUUUGAGCCCCCGCGGCAAGGGAGGCAUGACCUCAGCGGCCGCUCACAGCAGCGGAGGCCGCGGGUGGGACUUGCCCAGGAUGCACCCUGACUCCUACCCGCCCCUCCCCCCAUGGUCUUACACCCCCUUUUUCAGAUGAGAACAGACACUGAGGCUCAGAGAAGCAAGGCUCUACCUCAUCCUGCCUCUGAACCUGCCUUUGCCCGCGGAGCGGUGUGACCACGGGCAGAAAGGACAGGCUGGAGCGAUGGAAACCCCAGACAAGUGGUCCCGAGGCAUCAUCCCACCAACCCGUGUUUGCGCCUGUCCACGUGACUCCCAGACCUCAUCCAUGUGCAGAGCCAGUGACUGUGCGUGCAUAGAGGUUCUGUCCUGCAUUUCUCACCACGUGGCCACAUGCAUUAUAUACACGCCCCCGCCCUGUUUUCCUCUCGCCCCUCAGGUUCUACCAUACGCCACCUGGAGGAUCUUGCCCAGACUCUGCUGUCCUCCUUACAGACAGGUGGCCGAGCUUCCCACAGGUCUUUCCAGAGGAGAACGAGACAAGAGAGGUCCAGAGAGAGAGACUGAAGCCAGACUUCUGAUCCUGGCUGCAGGCUGAUACCCGACUCCAGCCACAGAAUGGCCUCUGACUCAAGCCAUAGACUGAUUCGUGACCCACACUGUGGACUUAUUUGUGAUCGUGGCUGUAGAUUGGCCCAGGCACAGGCUGACCCCUAGCCCUGGCCACAGACUAAUCUUUGACCCCAGUUGUAGGCCGAUCUCUGAGUCUGGCCACCGGCGCCCUCACUGACACCCCACCCCAUCCAGGAACUGGCAUUUCCUGAUUUGCAGCUGGUAAACUCAGCUUGAGUUGGUCAGCAUAUCUGGUCUGUCUGUCCUGCCUCUCUACCAUGGGACCACAGGGCAAGCGGGCAGUUCUCUUUUUUAAGCAAAGAGAGCAGCAUUAGAAGGCCCCUCUGCAAACUUCCUUCUGCCCUGGAUGGGAGGUCUGGUGCUCUGGCAGCCGUCUUGUGACCACGAGGGGAAGCGUGUGGGGAUGAGAGACAGCGCUCUGGACCUGGCACAGGGGGAGCAGAAAAGAGCCUGCGUCCCUGAUCGCUUCAUCACGCGAUCAAACCAACCUUGGGAUUCUUAAAUAAACCAUGAACCUGC